rnacentral:tRNA from 1 species
AAAAAAGAAACUUUUAGAGUUGAAAAUUUAUAGUUUUCUUUAGAUAUUCCUUUUUGA